rnacentral:rRNA from 1 species
UACGUAGGGUGCGAGCGUUGUCCGGAAUUAUUGGGCGUAAAGAGCUCGUAGGCGGUGUGUCACGUCGGCCGUGAAAACCUGCAGCUUAACUGUGGGCGUGCGGUCGAUACGGGCAUCACUGGAGUUCGGCAGGGAAGACUGGAAUUCCUGGUGUAGCGGUGAAAUGCGCAGAUAUCAGGAGGAACACCGGUGGCGAAGGCGGGUCUCUGGGCCGAUACUGACGCUGAGGAGCGAAAGCGUGGGGAGCAAACAGG